rnacentral:rRNA from 2 species
UCUGGUAUUGAUUGGUGCUUGCAUCAUGAUUUACAUUUGAGUGAGUGGCGAACUGGUGAGUAACACGUGGGAAACCUGCCCAGAAGCGGGGGAUAACACCUGGAAACAGAUGCUAAUACCGCAUAACAACUUGGACCGCAUGGUCCGAGCUUGAAAGAUGGCUUCGGCUAUCACUUUUGGAUGGUCCCGCGGCGUAUUAGCUAGAUGGUGGGGUAACGGCUCACCAUGGCAAUGAUACGUAGCCGACCUGAGAGGGUAAUCGGCCACAUUGGGACUGAGACACGGCCCAAACUCCUACGGGAGGCAGCAGUAGGGAAUCUUCCACAAUGGACGAAAGUCUGAUGGAGCAACGCCGCGUGAGUGAAGAAGGGUUUCGGCUCGUAAAACUCUGUUGUUAAAGAAGAACAUAUCUGAGAGUAACUGUUCAGGUAUUGACGGUAUUUAACCAGAAAGCCACGGCUAACUACGUGCCAGCAGCCGCGGUAAUACGUAGGUGGCAAGCGUUGUCCGGAUUUAUUGGGCGUAAAGCGAGCGCAGGCGGUUUUUUAAGUCUGAUGUGAAAGCCUUCGGCUCAACCGAAGAAGUGCAUCGGAAACUGGGAAACUUGAGUGCAGAAGAGGACAGUGGAACUCCAUGUGUAGCGGUGAAAUGCGUAGAUAUAUGGAAGAACACCAGUGGCGAAGGCGGCUGUCUGGUCUGUAACUGACGCUGAGGCUCGAAAGUAUGGGUAGCAAACAGGAUUAGAUACCCUGGUAGUCCAUACCGUAAACGAUGAAUGCUAAGUGUUGGAGGGUUUCCGCCCUUCAGUGCUGCAGCUAACGCAUUAAGCAUUCCGCCUGGGGAGUACGGCCGCAAGGCUGAAACUCAAAGGAAUUGACGGGGGCCCGCACAAGCGGUGGAGCAUGUGGUUUAAUUCGAAGCUACGCGAAGAACCUUACCAGGUCUUGACAUACUAUGCAAAUCUAAGAGAUUAGACGUUCCCUUCGGGGACAUGGAUACAGGUGGUGCAUGGUUGUCGUCAGCUCGUGUCGUGAGAUGUUGGGUUAAGUCCCGCAACGAGCGCAACCCUUAUUAUCAGUUGCCAGCAUUAAGUUGGGCACUCUGGUGAGACUGCCGGUGACAAACCGGAGGAAGGUGGGGAUGACGUCAAAUCAUCAUGCCCCUUAUGACCUGGGCUACACACGUGCUACAAUGGAUGGUACAACGAGUUGCGAACUCGCGAGAGUAAGCUAAUCUCUUAAAGCCAUUCUCAGUUCGGAUUGUAGGCUGCAACUCGCCUACAUGAAGUCGGAAUCGCUAGUAAUCGCGGAUCAGCAUGCCGCGGUGAAUACGUUCCCGGGCCUUGUACACACCGCCCGUCACACCAUGAGAGUU